rnacentral:tRNA from 1 species
GUCUCUGAUAGCUCAACUGGUAGAGCCUUCGGUGCGUAACUAAAUGAUCUGAGUUCGAAUCCCGGUUCAGACU